rnacentral:rRNA from 1 species
UACGGAGGGUGCAAGCGUUAUCCGGAUUCACUGGGUUUAAAGGGUGCGUAGGUGGGCUAGUAAGUCCGUGGUGAAAUCUCCAAGCUUAACUUGGAAACUGCCGUGGAUACUAUUAGUCUUGAAUAUUGUGGAGGUAAGCGGAAUAUGUCAUGUAGCGGUGAAAUGCUUAGAUAUGACAUAGAACACCGAUAGCGAAGGCAGCUUGCUAGACAAUCAUUGACACUGAGGCACGAAAGCGUGGGGAGCAAACAGG